rnacentral:lncRNA from 1 species
AAGCCACAAAUAAAUCAAAAAAGAAAAAUAUAUCAAGUCCAGGAAACAGAAAAUCUAACAUGGUUCAAGAGCCACUGACUCCUGCAGUGGAGUCGAUGGCUUUUAAAUAUGACUGCACCUUGGUAUAAUCUAUGUGAGGGAAGGAAGAGGGAUGAAUUUACUUACUAAUCUCUUGAUCACACCGGUCAAAAGUUCACCUAAAGGGAGUUAACUUCUCUGCAGUUCUGGGUUGUGCAGGAUGGGCACUGAGCAAGUCCCAGCUGAUCCCUUCUAAGCUUUGCCUCAAACCGUGGGCUGCUGGAGGACACCUGAAGGGAAGCCACAGUGCAGGAGACUCAUCCUCAUUCUCAAAAGAUAAUUUCUUGAGGUGUGGAAGUCAAAUCAUUCUCUUAGCACAUUGAAGAUAUUAUAUUACUGUUUUCUGGCUUCUACUGUUACUGCUAAAAAGCCAGUCAUUGGUCUAAUUAUCAUUCCUUUGAAUGUGAUCUGUCUUUUCUCUUUGAAAGUAUAAAUAUUUCUUACUUUAAAGUGCGUGAAUCAUAAAUAUACAGUCUACUAAAUUUUUACAAAGUAAAUGCACCCCCGGGGAGAAAAGCAGAAGAGGGAGGCAUAAAGAGUCACACUCAGCAGCUACAGAGAGGGAGGCAGAGUAGAAACAGGAAAGAAGCCACACUGGUGGCAGCAAAUAAGAAGUUUUGGUGACCUUGACUUGACCCUUUUAAAGAAUGACAAGUGCUUGGCAAUGAUCACAUGCAGUCAAGGGAAGCCUGCCUGUGGGUACCUGCUGGUCAGGGCUCUAGAAAUGAGAGGCAAAGGAGAGGCAGAGGCUGAGGCAGGGGGAAAGUCUAAUGUUUAGCUCAAAGGAAAGAGGACUUUGGAGAAUUGAGAUAACAACUAUCAACUCUGGACUUGUGAUAAUUGAGAUAGCCAUCAACUCUGUGCCAAGGGAGAGGGGUGGAGAGUGGCAGACAGAGCUGGGAUCUAGGGGGAAUAAAUCAGUGGCAGGUUUAGUUUAUCCUAAGGCACAACUUUCGGGUGGGAAGACCAGUCCAGCUGCCAACAGGUCAGCCUCAGUGGUGCUGGGCUUCUUGAAGUUUGGGAGACUGGUUAAUUGGUUUAUUCAACCAGUACUCACCUCAUUGUCAUUAUAUGCAGGUAGUGUGGACAACGCUGCCCUUGGAGAACUCACAGGCAAGUUGGGACACUGGACAAUAAAAAAUUAAAUGUACCAUUACAAGUUGUGAAAUGGUCUAUAGAAGAAGAGAAAAAGGAUAGCAUGAGAAUAAAGGGAGGAAGGAUGGAAGCAAAGAGAAAAAGAGAGUCUGGUGUAGAUUAAGGAGGUAGGGGUAAAUGACUGGCAUUUCUGUUUUAUCAGUCUCCCCACUUGAUCUCUAAUUCAAUCCAUGAAAAUGGUAGGAGCUUCUUUGCUGAGGCCUGCCCCCCUCCUCCUACCACAGCAGAAUGGAAGCCUGGCACCACUUAAACCAGGUAAUGGCACUGAGGGGGAAGCCCUACCAAGCCCUAUCACUUCAUGGUGAGUGCCUGUUAGUGCUGGGUAUGUUCAGAUAUCUUAUUCUGUCCUCCAGAACUGAGCAGAGGUGUUAUUUCCCCCUGUUCUUAUGGAUGAAGAAACCAAAAUUCAGUGAGGUUAGGUGGGUUAUGCAAAGUCAUUAAGUCAAUACACAUUUUUUAAUGCCCACUUCAUAAGUGACCACGCUGGGAAUGGAGCCCAUUCUGGUAAGUGGAAGCAGGUGGAGACAGUGCAGGAGGACUAUGGAGGACAGUUCUCUGCUGGGUGGAGUUCAGGCCUCAUGGCCAUUGAAGUUCCAUCUGCCCUGAGAUCAUGCAUAUCCUCCUAUGCGUAUACCUGAGUCAGCACCACAGGUCCCACACGCAGGAUCCCAAUGGGGAGAGAAUUUUAAGGUAAAGAACACCCAUCACUUUUCCAAAGCAUGGAUUCCCACUGCAACACCUUUUUGGGGGCAGUCGUGCGGCCUGCGUAUGAGCAUCUUCGUGCGGCCUGUGUAAGAGCAUCUUCAGUGAUGGGGUUCGCUGUCUCCAUGGGAGCUUACCUUAACUGGACAGCUCUGACAGCAGGGAAUGCCUUUCCUUAUAUCAGACCCGACUCUGUCUCCUCUUGGAACACACCCACCUGCUGCGGCACUUUUCCACAUGGGCUCCCUUUCCAUAGGGCUUUAAAUCCAAAGCCUUCUGGAUUUAAAAGAAUGCCUGGACUUUCUUGGUAUGAUUUCAAGCCUACUAGGUCCCUUUCUGGUUUACUAUUCUGCUACUCAAAGGUAGAGAAAGAGGUGAACCCCUUACCUCACCCCAUGUAGGCAUCUACUAUUCUCCAGAAAGGGAGCAUGGAGCUAUGUCCCCUCUUCAGAGCCCAGUGGACCAGAUAGUCCUAGCACCAAGCAUCUCCUCCAGGAAUGUCUGGUUCCCCACAAAAUCUGUUCCCAUUGCUACCAUGUCCACUGUGACUGCUGGGAUUCAUGGUUCUGUUAGAAGAAACUUCCUAUCUCAGUCUUUUCAUCACUGGGCUCUAAGAAAUUAGCAGGCAACUGCUGCAAGGAUUCUAGACCUAUCCCAGGACUAUGCAUAGAUAAGGCUGAAAGUUGAUGCCUGUGUUGCAAGGCCAGAGUGUUAUUCAUGCAUUGGGAGGUGCUCAGAUGUGAUGACCUCCAGGCUUCUUACAGUUCUAGAAGUCUGCGAAUCAUUCCCCUAAGGCACUGGGAAACAACCCAAAUGCCUGGCCCCUGGACAGAGACCUAGAUCUCAUUCAACCUGUCUGCAAAACCUUAAUCAAAUGGCAUCAACUUUUAUGAAAGAGCUGGUCAUUGUAAUGGCAGUAGAUGUUCCUAAAAGCUCUUGCCACCUGGGUACUAGUGAUGUUGUUUGAUAGGGGCUUUGUUGUGGUGAUGGUUAAUUUUAUGUGUGGACUUGACUGGGCUACGGGGUGCUCAGGUAUUUGGUUAAACAUUGUUCUGGGUGUGUCUGUGAGGGUAUUCCUGGAUGAGAUUAACCUUUGAAUAGGUAGAUUGCCCUCCUCAAUGUGGGUGGGCCUCAUUUGAUCCAUUGAAGGUCUGCAUAAAAUAAAAAGGAGAAGUAAAGGAAAAUUCCCUUUUUUGACUGUUUUAGAGCUGGGGCAUUGUUCUUCUUUGGCACUCACACUGGAACUUAUGCCAUCCACUCUCCUGGUACUCUAGGCUUUGGACGUGAACCAGAACUACACCACCAGCUCUCCUGGGUGUCCAGCCUGCAGAUGGCAGAUUGUGGGAUUUCUCAGCCUCCAUAAUCAUGUGAGCCAAUUCCUGAUAAUAAAUCUCUUUAUAUUUAUUAAACAGAACUCUGUUGGUUCUGUUUAUCUGGGGGACCCUGACUAAUGCAGUUGUGCUGCUGGUAGAAUAAGGGUGUUUGGAAAUGAGGGAGAGGUGACAGUAGUAAUAAUUAAUAACUGUCUAUAAUAUGUGUGCCAAACACCUGACUAAACAUUUCGCAGAAGUUACUUUAUUUACAGAGAGCCCAAGCAAGGUCUUCAGCAUUCUGGUCUUGUUUGUUUCUUAUUCUGGAUGCUGGCCAGAGAAGUGUGUUCAUUUUACGAAAAUUCAUUCAACUGAAUACUAGAGACAUUUCUCUAUAUAUUAUCUCAACAACAACAAAAAAUUUUGAAAAAAUUAUGUAACCCUUGCAACCAUUUACAAUGCAGGUGCUGCAAUCCUUAUUUUGCACAUGAUGACAUUGAGGCAUAGAAAGGUUAAGGAACUUGUCCAAAGCCACACAGCUAGGAAUGGCAGUGCUAGGCUUGCAAUUGAGAUCUAUCUGGCUUCAAAGCUGGUGCUGUCUCCAUACCCCACACUGCUCCCCCAGACUGAGAUGCAGGAGGGGUGAUUCCUCAGGCACUCCCUCACCCUCAACUCCCCCAUGCCACACUUUAACACUACACACACACAAAGUCAAUCCUAAACCAGAGGGCCAGGCUAGAGAGAGUGGCAGAGGGAGGGCUGGGUGGCUACCAAGACCAAUAAGUACAACCCUAUUCUCAAAGAAGCUUCCAGUCUGAUGGGGAGGCAGGCAUGGCACAAUAACACAAGACUAUGCUUUCGGGGCAUGGGGACAGUGCCAAGCACCAGCUAGGCAUGAAAUCCAUCAGCCUCCGAGUUUGGGGUACCUGAAGAAGAACUGCUUUCAAAGCUCUCAGGUGGAGUUAGGCCAGAUCUGGGGCUCGGUGUCUUAACUCCUUUCUGCUCAGGGCUGCUGCUGAGGUGGCCAAUGGGCUCUGGAUCCCUGAUGGCAUAGCAGGGUGGUAUGACUGGAUUAAUUAGGUUUUAUUAAUAGCCAAGCACUUCAUGAAUUAUAAUUAAGCAGAUGUGCAUCUGGUGGCAGUAGUGGCUGAGGGUGGGAAGCAGUGGUUCCAGGAGGCUCUGAAGCACUAUUAAGUAUGAAUACCAUGUCACGGGAUAUAGCGAGAACCCAGUCCAGGUGCCUUGUUAAACAGCCUGCCCAAGUGCUCUGGUGUCUGAGAUCUUGAUUUAUUCAAUAAACAUGCCUUGACCCUGCUAGGUAUUGGGUGAGCAGCGAUACUUUCUGAGUGAGACACAAUUGUGGGUGUGGGGCCAGGGGGUAGAACUGGCCAAGUGUUCAGCUCUCUCAAAAAGCAAGGAGGUGAUAAGGGUGCAGUGGGGUACGUACACAAGCCUGGGGGAGCACUCACAUAUGAGGACUGCUUCUUGAAGUAAUGAAUCUCACCCUGCCCCAACUCUCUCUCUCUCUUUCUCUCAUAAUUUGGCCUUUGGAUAUCUUGGGGUCAGGGCAGCCUGAUCUCUGGGGACUAAAAGAGCUAAGCAAGAGGUCUUUUGUACCAAGGGGCUAUAAGGGCUACACUGGCAGGCAGCCAAGGAGGCAAGAGACCCGCACACAGCGCAGCCCAGGAGAUGGAGAAGGCAGGUCGCUCGGCAGAGAGAGGGGCCUGGAACUGAGUGUUUAGACAGGAGAAGGCAUGUUUAGCUUGUGGAAAAACAGAGCGCAGAAUGAUAAAGUGGACGAUGAAAAAAGAGGUCUGAACAAUGAAAUAUUCCACUGUUGCUUGCAGCCCUGACAGCAUGACAGAUGCAGAGGAUAAAUUUUCAUCUGGCCUUUUCUAAACCCAUUCUGAUUUUCCAUUUGGCCACAGAGAAAUAUCCCAGCAUCAAUUUUUGCCUUUUGGAAUUUUAGGAUGUGUUAAAUUUACCUCCAUUCUGCCUCAGAAAUACAUUUUUCUGUGUACUCUGCAACACAGCUCGCAAAAUUAGGCUGAUUAUGGAAUGCUCUAGGCAUCUGCCAUCCUGGGCCUUGUUAAUGCUACCCCUUCAUCCUGAAAUGCCCUUUCACCUUUCCGGGGAUUCAACCUGCUUCACCUACUAAAGUUCACUUCAGGUCCCUUGGAAAAGCUGUCUUCAAAACCACCAGUCAGGAUGAGCUACAGAGUUUCCUCUACUUUCUUGGGCUGUAAAGGGAAAAGCCCAGAGUCAGAGGCCUGGAUUCAAGUCCCAAUUCAGGUCUCCUUGGGCAGCAAGUCACAUAAUGGCUCUCAACCUUGGUUUUCUUAUCUAUAAAAUGGGGAAGAUGAUAGCACCUUCCUCACAGGGUUGUGAAGAUUAAAUGAGAUGAGGCUUGUGAAAUGCUUUAUAAAUGGUAAAGUACAUGUCCACAUAAAAGCCUACAUAGCACUUUGUGCUUUGUGUUAGUUGAUUACUUGACUGUCUCUUUGAUUGGUGCUCAUUACUUGUUAGUCAAAUGGAUAAAGGAAUGAACAAGGCAGAAGAUUAAGAUGAAUGCUUUUUUUUUUGAGAGACAGGGUCUUGCUGUGUUGCCCAGUCUGGAGUGCAGUGGCAUGAUCAUGACUCACUGAAGCCUCGAUCUCCCAGGAUCAAGCAUUUCUCCCACCUCAGCCUCCCAGUACUAC